GGAAGGGACCACCUUGCUGAGAGUACCCAGGCUUGCCCCAGGGGAAUCGCAGAUGGCCCAAGUCAGAGCAAGCCAAGGGAGCACGGGCCUCAUGUCCACUGGCUGCAGGUUUUAAGAGCACAUACCCACAGGGAUAAGGUGUGAUCCACAUUCCCAUGGCAGGUACCAGUAAGUGUCCAGAUAACUUCCCCAAGGCACCCUCUUGGGGAGGAGAAGCAGAGGAGCAGAGUGCUGAAGGACCCAGCAUUUCCUCGAAAGGAGCUGUGUCAAAGCGAAAGGAGACUGUCUAAAGCAGAAGAGACUGGGCUCCCAUUAGCCAGCAGGGCCAGACUUCCCUGCUGCCCCAGGAGGAAGCACUUGUAAGAAAAAAGGGGUCAGCCAGGGCAGUGGCCUGAGGCACGUCCACAAGGAAGAAGAAGGAACAGCAGAGAGUGAGGAGAGACAAGGCCAAGCAGGAGGGAUUGGUCGGACAGAGUAGAGUUUUGCUGCAGAAAACGAAAAUCCUUACAACAUCUAGAAGCAGCCUCAUUUGCAUUUUCAAACCGAAAAUCCCCAGUACUCCCAGAGGACUGCCGCUUCUCUAGGCUUAGGCGAUCAGUGAAGGAAUGGAUGACUUCACCUUCCACAAGAGGCAGGUCCUAAAAAUGUUUUGCACAAGACAAAACUUGAGUAAAUCAUCCAUAUUUUAAGUGCCUUAGCAGAGGUCAUUGUCUUAGCAAUCUUGAAGAGAUCCUCUUUCCAAAGCAAAGAAGCUGAUAGUGAUGUUAACACUCUGUUUUGUAAACAACUGUUUUGGUGUAGUGCCAGGGUCCCAGUUUCCAUCCUGAGCCAAUUCUCAGAGCCCUCUGGGUUUCUGGUAGGAGACUGGUAGGGCUGCCAGAUCUAGAGGCCAUUUGAGUGACACUAAGCCCCCUCCUGCAAGAGACAUCAUCCUCAGGGAAGAGGGCUUCCGUGCAAGCUUGACCCAAUAUACAAAAGGAUUGGAGGGGAAGCCGAUUCAGAGCUACAGCCUGGCCUGUGUUAGCCGUUUCUUUCCAG